UCUGAAUCAAGGUGGGCGAAGCGGUCACAUAUUUGCGCGUUGAAUGCUUCCUCGUCCUCCAGAAAGUUGACAAUGGUGGCACCAUCCAAAAUCUCCACACUCAUUUUUGGUAUCUCGCAAUUCACUCACAAACUAGAACAAGAGAAGGUUUCAAACCGUAAAUGAAAGGGAAGCUUUAGAGAGAACUGAUUUGAUAUUUUGAUUAUGGUUCUAACUGAAGGUGGUCUUGUGCUCAUUUAUACGUAAAUGAGGGGCACACAGACAGUCACGAGCAGUCAGAAAUAUAGGUAGCACCCAGUUUCCAUUUGGUUUCUGCUUUCCUGAGAUGCUUCUAAUUUCCUUUGCACAAUCUGCUGCUUCGAGGAUCCGUCGGUCAGCCACUAAAAAAAUAUUAUUAGAAAUAUCUUAAACAGGCGAGCCAUAAGUCAUAAUCUAAUGGCAACGGCAACUUGGGAAUGGGCUUUUCCCCUAAUAAAAUUCGGUGGGCUAGCCGUGUUUAUAAGGUCGAAAAUCAAAUGAAAGCACCGACAGCGGUCAAUUUCCCUUCUCCUUCCGAGACCGAUCAUGUUCUUUUUUUAUUUAUUUUUUCCCACAAUACAGCAAAUAUUGUACUAUAGGUUUGAUUUCACCUAUUCUACAUGUAUUGUUUGUCAAACAUUAAAUAAUGGGCAUAUAAUUGUCGUAGAGAUUUAAACAAACUUAAUUAUGGUUAUAACUUAAUUUUUUUCAUUUUUUUUCUUUUUUUCAAUGAUGGACUUUUAGAACUUGAUGCUUGCAAUAUUCUUCACUUAUUUAUUUCCAUUUCAUGUUUAAUGGAUUAUGUCAUGUGUGAUGUCAAAUGACACGUUUUAAGUGCCUCUUAAGCGGUAUUGUUAACAAAAAAAAAAGAGUUUUGAAUUUAAUCAUAAAAUUAUAAUUAAGAUUUAGGAGUCGCCACUUAAUAUAAUAAUUGCUAGAAAACCUAUGAUUUAUGAGAGUUUAGGUAAGGGACUAGUUAUACAACAAAAAAACACAUUAUUUCCAGUGCAUCCUAUAUGAAGUAAGCUAUAAUGUUAUUUGAUUGUUAUUCUAAAUUAAGUUUUUAUUUGUUGGAAUCGUCUAAUGUUUAAGAUAAAUCUUUCUUCUUGAGGAAAUCUAUACUUUAUGAGGUUGAAUUCUAACAAUUCUAAAGUUUAAAUUUUAGUAUUAUAUUUAUAUUGAAUUUUUAUCUUUAAUACAUAAGGGUGUACUCUACUGUUUAGUUUUACACCCUCAAAUAUUUAAGUCUACAUAUAAACCAUAAUAUAAAAUGAAAAAAAUAAUUGGUGAAAGGUUUUUAAUAUUUUAGUCAAACCUUAGCAGAUAAUCAUAAACUAGUUGUGAUAUCUAUUUUGCAUUUUAAAACAUGAGAAAAAAUCAAUUUUUUGUUUUUUUAUGAAAACAUGCUUAAAAAACUUUGAGGAUCUUGCUAUAUGCAUGAAAACAAAACAAUUAUUUUUUUAAAAAAAGGAAAUUGAUUUAAAAAUUUUGAAUUAUUUUUUGAAUUUUCGUUUGAAAUGUUUCAGAAAUAACCGGGCAUUUUAAUAACGGAUAUGUAUCAUAUAGUGUAAUUAUACAACAUAAUAUGAUGCAAAAUUGAUUGAAAAACAUGUGAGAAAUCACAAAAAAAAUUUAUAAGGCUUUUGAAAUUUUUAUGGAUUUUUUUGGUUUUUUUAUAUUAUUUUUUAAUAUAUUAUUAUUAUAUAUAUAUAUUAGGUUGGCCUUUACCUAGCCAUCAGGGCCGAACCUAGCCGGGUUGGGCCGCCAGGCCGCGCAACAGACCUAGCCUUUAUCCUUUUUUUUUUUUUUAUGGGCUGGACCCGACUAAGCCAUCAUAGGUUGGGUUGGAAUAGGUCUUGCCUAUCUUCACAUGGCCAUUGGCUCGACCUAGUGACCAUGUGAAGUGUUGAUUUUUGUAUGCAGAUCCAAUGUUUCGCUUGCAAAUGGUUACCCUAUUUGCUAGGAAGGCCGACAUGUUGUUGGCAACAUUGCUAACAGCGAAGAUGUUGCAAAAGAUGAGGAAGAAGAUGGUUGGUGAAGAAGAAGAAAAGAUCUUGUAAGAAAAACUGAUUUUCACCAAAUUUGGGCUCUAAUUUCUUGAUGCUUGGAGCAUGGAAUGCACCUCUAUAAGGGAUGAAAGAUGAACAUCUUGUCUGUACUAGUGUCAAAUCUUGGCCCUUGAUUUGACACAGAAAAAUCUUAAGCAUUGGUUCAAAGUUGCAAUCAUGAUUUGAAAAAGUUGGUUGCUAAAUGUUAGUCAGGUUGACCAAUUUAAGGCUAUAUUAUGGUGGUUGUAGGGACAAUUAGAUGGCGAGAUCUACUUUGGGGUGAAGUGUAAUGUCAGUUCGUCAUGGUGGUGUAUGGUUUGUCCAGUUUGGUUGAGAGAUAAAAUAUUAAAUACCCCUGAAAAAUAGUCACCUAGCCAAUUUUUUAGAAUCAAAAGAAGAAGACAAUGAAUAGUAACUAGAUGAUGCAUCGUCUGGUUGCCUUUCUUUUUUACUGUUCAUAAACACUCCGUUUUGGACCUUAAAUUAGGGUUUUUUUCAAAGUUUAAUUUGGUCCUUCAACUUUUGAUUUUUUUCAAUUUUACCCCUAAUUGACUCUAAACUUUUGAUUUAAUGCAAUUUGCCCAUGCUGAAUUUCAAUACCAGUCCUAAAUUUCAGCGCCCUUUUCAAUUUGGUCAUUAGUCUUGGAUUUAUACAAUUUGACCAUCAAGUGACCAUUAAAAUUUUAAUUUUCUUCAAUUUCACCUCUGAUUUUCUUCAAUUACCCCAUAUUUUGAUGUUUUUUGCAAAAUUGUUCUUAGUUGCGAAUCUCUUCAAUUUAACCCUUAAUUGACCCUAAAGCUUGGAUUUUCUAAUUUUACCUCUAAUUUGAACCAAUUGAUUUUAUAGAAAUUAAAUUUGGUCUUCUAAAAUUCUAAUUCUCUCAUUUAAGCGCAAAUUAGGCUUCUAAACUUAGAUUUCACCAAUUAAACCCCUAAUAAAAUUAAGUUGACUUAUUUAAAGAAUAAUUAAGUCCUUACACCUACUUAAAUCCUUUAAUUGGUCACAAAUUAAUUCUUAAACAUAAUUAAAUUUUCAAUUUGACCCAUGAUGAAAUCAAAUUGGCCUAUUAAAAUUCUAAUUAUAUCCCCGGGUUUAAUUUUUAAGUAGAUUAAUCCAAUAACCAUUUAAUUUGAUCUUUAAUUUGCAUUGUCUCUCUAGUUUUGGAUAAAAUAGGGUACAAUUAGGCUUCCAAAGUUGUAACUUAAUCUUCCUAUAUGUUUGAAAUCCUCUUCAACGUACUUUUCCAAGUCGCUAGUUUUCUUGCUUUUUUUAUUUUCUUUUUAACUUUAUUUUAAAAACUAAAAAGGUGAAUUUAAGGAAUAACCCAUAAAUGAGUUAUGACAAUUGCCAUUCUUUUUACAAUGUUUAGAAUGAAAGUCUCAUGAAAGACUUUAGACAAUAAACUUUGUAAAGAAGAAGAAAAAGAACGAGAUUAUGGACUCACCAUAUUAAAAAAAAAAAAUGGUCAAUCGUUCUUAAAAAUGUGAGCAAUGAGAACUUAAAAGCAUACUAAAAGAAAAUAUAGAUAAGAAUAAAAAGCACAUUAUCUAAAAAACAAGAGUUAGAAAGUGUACUUGAAAGGAAAGGAGAUAGAGUUUCUAAAGAAAUAGAUGAUUUUUAUGAAAGAUUUUAGAAGUGAUAUGGUAGUACCAGACAACCUAUUUAUUAGUAGAAUUCAAAGAUUCUAAAAUGAUCAAUUUGUCUUGGGUGACCAUCAAAAUAAUAAACUUAAAGGUCUUUCCAAAAUAUUUUUAUUAUAAUGGAUGAUCUAUCUAAGUAGAUAAAUAAAAAGAUUUUUUUUUAAUGGUUUUAUUAUAAUAGACAAUUUAUUUAGGUGAAAAUGAUAGCUUUUAUUUUUAAAUAAUUUUAUUAUAAUGAGUGAUCUACCCAUAAAAAAAUACAAAGAUUUUUCAUUAAUCAUUGUCCAGAUCUUCACACAAGACUGAAAAUAUCUGGAGCUACAAGCCCGCAAGUGUGUUGUUUUUAAGCAUCCAGGUUCUUUGUUCAAGUGGCGUUCCUGCAUAAGUAGGAUUUUAAGUGCUUCCCUCUUUUCAAUGCGGGAAGUUUGUUUCAUACGCAUGCUAAACAAAUCAUGAUGGAAUCAGGUGUUUAGAGCGCAAAAUCAAGUUAAAUCGCACCGCAGAUUCGACUCGAGGUUUUUAUUUAACUAGACUUCAUAUUAGGACACUUAUUUCUUUAAUAUUCAUCUGUUCCCCUGGACCUGACACGCAACUUCUUUUACCAUUCUGAUGCAACUCUGUUCUACCAAUUCCAUUCCCUUGAAGCUAAAUUUUGAACGAUGACUGAGAUGCAUCCAGCUCAAUCCUUGUGCCCAUGUAUCUAUUAGUUGAUGAAGCCCUCUUGAAAGAGGAAAGAUAUUCGUCAGCCUUUUGUUAUACUAACCAUGGAUCCGGUCAUGACCAAAUUGCAUCAGGAGAGAACCAUGUUUUAAGAUUCCAAAUUGCACCAAUAACAGAGCAUUUCAUUUAUUUUCUUUGCUGCAUCCAGCUAAACUUGGAAUGCAUUCGCAGCAGAAAGAAAGAAAUAACAAAGACAAUUAAUGAGUAAAGUAUAGUAUAUGGUAAUGGAUGUGGAAUUAAUCAGGCAACCAGUUUAGCAGAUUCCCACUCCACAGCCUUCUUCAGGAAACUGUCUUCUUCCAGGACCAUCUGAACAGGCAAGAAACCCAUACCACUGGCCAUGGCUAGCAUCAUUUGCUUGGUCUCUGACUUGAACUCUUCCAAGUCCACUGUCCCAUUCAAGUCAUGAUCAAAUUGGACAAAAAGAGAACCAUAGACGAGAGCAAGCUCAUCCGGGUCUGUUUCCACAUCCACGCCGAAGUGGGUUUCCAAUAACCUCAAACACUGCAGCUCCUUCAACAUUUCCCCGUAGGAAAGCCGGCCGUCAUGGUCUGAAUCAAGGUGGGCGAAGCGGUCACAUAUUUGCGCGUUGAAUGCUUCCUCGUCCUCCAGAAAGUUGACAAUGGUGGCACCAUCCAAAAUCUCCACACUCAUUUUUGGUCUCUCGCAAUUGACUCACAAACUAGAACUAGAGAAGGUUUGAAACCGUAAAUUAAAGGGAAGCUUUAGAGAGAACUAAUUUGAUAUUUUGGUGAAUCAGGAGUUUGGUUCUGUGCUCUGUGAAACAAAGAGAAGCUUUCGAGAUAACUGAUUUGAUGUUGAUGAAUAAGAAGGUGGUCUUGUGCUCAUUUAUACGUAAAUGAGGGGCACACAGACAGUUGAAGAGCAGUCAGAAAUAUAGGUAGCACCCAGUUUCCAUUUGGUUUCUGCUUUCCUGAGAUGCUUCUAAUUACCCUUUGCCGCAUCGUUAUUUCAUUCUUUGCACAAUCUGCUGCUUCGAGGAUC
rnacentral:lncRNA from 1 species